CAGCAGCCGCGGGAAUACAGAGGGUGCGAGCGUUAAUCGGAUUUACUGGGCGUAAAGCGUGCGUAGGCGGCCUUUUAAGUCGGAUGUGAAAUCCCUGAGCUUAACUUAGGAAUUGCAUUCGAUACUGGGAAGCUAGAGUAUGGGAGAGGAUGGUAGAAUUCCAGGUGUAGCGGUGAAAUGCGUAGAGAUCUGGAGGAAUACCGAUGGCGAAGGCAGCCAUCUGGCCUAAUACUGACGCUGAGGUACGAAAGCAUGGGGAGCAAACAGGAUUAGAUACCCCGGUAGUCCCUGUCUCUUAUAC
rnacentral:rRNA from 1 species